rnacentral:misc_RNA from 1 species
AUAAUAAUUUUAAAUGAUGUAUAAAUGUUUAUAAAUAGAGUUUUAGAAUAUAUAAAAUAAAAAUUGAUAAAAUUAGGGAUAAAUUUAUAUAUUUAUAAUUAUAGAAUAGAUGUUUAUUAAGUUUUAAUUUAGGUUUUGUGUUAGGUAUAGUAGAUAUAAAUAGUAAUAUAAGAUUUUGUUUUUAAAGAGUUUUUAUUUUAA